UUACUCAUACAUCUUUGUUGCUUUCUCUCGUACAUGUACAACGGCACAGCUGUUUUCAGGACACAGCUGACAUUUCCCUGUCUCCUCAUUUUGUUAGACACAGUUGGCUCUCUGUCACUACUCCACAUCCUUCGAUGAGGAGAAUUUUACAGAUGCUUCAGACUUCCGACCGGAUCGCUGGAUAAGGAAAGAUUCCACAGAUCAUGUCGACAACUUUGGCUCAAUUCCUUUUGGCUAUGGUAUCAGAAGCUGCAUUGGCAGGAGAAUAGCAGAGCUGGAGAUGCACCUAGCUCUCACAAGGCUUAUUCAGAGGUUUCACAUUGCUGUAUCUCCUCUUACUGCUGAUGUCAAAGCCAAAACCCAUGGUCUACUCUGCCCUGCUGCUCCGAUUCACCUGAAGUUCACUGACAGGGAAAACUAGAUGCAAACUCUGCUCUAUAACAUCUGUUGUACUGUAUGUUUUGUAUUCAUUCAAAAUGUGGCCUCUUUGAAUACACUGUUUUAGUACACAUUUUAUUGUUAGAUAAUAGAAAUUGAUGUAAGACUGAACUUUUACUGGGACAAGGAAUCGGUCUGACCCUCUACGGUUUGAUAGUGAGGUGGUCACAGAAAUGGUACUGGUUCUUGUACAUAUAUAUUUUAAUUGCUGCAAACCACUGCAGUAUGUUUGGACUGUUACUCCCUCCAUUUAUCAUUUUCAAAAUAGUGGGUGGACAAAUGAACUAUAGUCAGAAUACUUUGGCUCUGUCCCUUCUAUAAUAGCGUUGUUUAUAUGUAACAACAUACAUAAGAAUGUUUCCCCUUUUAGUAUGAGAAAGCAGUUUACUGAGAAUGUUGAAAGGCAAAUAUGAAUGUACUGAUAAUGAACUGUUUCAACUGGUGUGUGUAUAUAAUGAGCUUUUUCUUUCUGCUUGCUCUGUAGUGCAAGCCACAAUAUUUAAUCACAUUUCUUUUUUUAUUCAGACAAAAAACACAUUUUUAAUUACUUUUAGUUGCAUUAUAUGAUUUUAAUUCAUGUAUUUUAUUACCAGAGAGAAAGAAAGAGAGAUUUGCAAAGAUACAAAGAGAUGACAAAUAAAUUGUUAAUUUUUUUGUAAAUCAAUCAUUUAUUUAGUCAGUCUCAUAGAUGAAGACGUGUUUGUGGCUUUUUAAAAGUAAUGUUAUCCUGUGAGUUAUGAUUAAUGGAACAGUCAUCAAAAAGUGGGUGUAUCGAUACAUCUCCAAUAGUUAGGUGUAAUGAAAUAUCUUUUCUCACACAACACUGUAUAUUUCAGAUAUGAAGUGUUCAAUAUUUGUGGUUUAGAUAUUAUUUAGAUGAACAGAUUAUAGUUUCACAAAGCCACAUAUUUGAUGAUUGUUAUAGAAAGGAAAUGUAUGUUAGAGAACAGUUUGCUGUAAGGAAAGAGGAUGUUGAAUUAUGUCAUUGUAAAGGGCUACACUGGUUUGAAUGGAAGAAAAUAGAAGCAUUCAAGUGUUCAUAUUUAUCUGCUUUUGUGUAUUUCUAUACAUUUCAAUUAUAGUUCCAGUUAAACUCGGAAACAAUAAAAAUGUAAUGAUUUUUAA